CUCAGGAUGAACGCUGGCGGCGUGCCUAACACAUGCAAGUCGAGCGAUGAGGCUCCCUUCGGGGGGUCAUCAGCGGCGAACGGGUGAGUAACACGUGGGUGACCUUCCCCAAAGACGGGGAUAACUCUUGGAAACAGGGGCUAAUACCCGAUGUGCUCAGCAGUUCACUCUGUUGAGUAAAGCUAUGGCGCUUUGGGAUGGGCCCGCGGCCCAUCAGCUAGUUGGUAGGGUAAUGGCCUACCAAUGCUAAGACGGGUAGGGGGCGUGAGAGCGCGAUCCCCCACACUGGCACUGAGACACGGGCCAGACUCCUACGGGAGGCAGCAGUGAGGAAUAUUGCGCAAUGGACGAAAGUCUGACGCAGCGACGCCGCGUGGGCGAUGAAGGCCUUCGGGUCGUAAAGCCCUUUUCUGGGGGAAGAGAAAGGACGGUACCCCAGGAAUAAGCCCCGGCUAACUACGUGCCAGCAGCCGCGGUAAAACGUAGGGGGCAAGCGUUAUCCGGAUUUACUGGGCGUAAAGAGCGUUGAGGCGGUUUUGUAAGUUGGGCGUGAAAGCCCUGGGCUUAACUCAGGGAAGCCGUUCAAUACUGCGAAACUUGAGGGCAGCAGAGGGAGGUGGAAUUCCCGGAGUAGCGGUGAAAUGCGUAGAUAUCGGGAGGAACACCAGUGGCGAAGGCGGCCUCCUGGGCUGCUCCUGACGCUGAAGGCGAAAGCUAGGGGAGCAAACGGGAUUAGAAACCCCGGUAGUCCUAGCCGUAAACGAUGGAUGCUAGGUGUGGGGGGUGUAGAUUCCCUCCGUGCCGCAGUUAACGCGCUAAGCAUCCCGNCUGGGGAGUACGGCCGCAAGGCUAAAACUCAAACGAAUUGACGGGGGCCCGCACAAGCAGCGGAGCGU
rnacentral:rRNA from 1 species